rnacentral:rRNA from 1 species
UACGGGGGGGGCAAGCGUUGUUCGGAAUUACUGGGCGUAAAGGGCUCGUAGGCGGCCAACUAAGUCGGAUGUGAAAUCCCCAGGCUUAACCUGGGAAUUGCAUCCGAUACUGGAUGGCUUGAAUCCGGGAGAGGGAUGCGGAAUUCCUGGUGUAGCGGUGAAAUGCGUAGAGAUCAGGAGGAACACCUGCGGUGUAGACGGCUUACUGGACCAUAACUGACGCUGAGGCACGAAAGCGUGGGUAGCAAACAGG